ACGUAGGUGGCAAGCAUUGUCCGGAUUUAUUGGGCGUAAAGCGAGCGCAGGCGGUCUUCUAAGUCUGAUGUGAAAGCCUUCGGCUUAACCGGAGAAGUGCAUCGGAAACUGGGAAACUUGAGUGCAGAAGAGGACAGUGGAACUCCAUGUGUAGCGGUGAAAUGCGUAGAUAUAUGGAGGAACACCAGUGGCGAAGGCGGCUGUCUAGUCUGUAACUGACGCUGAGGCUCGAAAGCAUGGGUAGCAAACAGGAUUAGAUACCCUGGUAGUCCAUGCCGUAAACGAUGAGUGCUAGGUGUUGGAGGGUUUCCGCCCUUCAGUGCCGCAGCUAACGCAUUAAGCACUCCGCCUGGGGAGUACGACCGCAAGGUUGAAACUCAAAGGAAUUGACGGGGACCCGCACAAGCGGUGGAGCAUGUGGUUUAAUUCGAUGCUACGCGAAGAACCUUACCAGGUCUUGACAUCUUCUGUUAACCUAAGAGAUUAGGUGUCCCCUUCGGGGGCAGAAUGACAGGUGGUGCAUGGUUGUCGUCAGCUCGUGUCGUGAGAUGUUGGGUUAAGUCCCGCAACGAGCGCAACCCUUGUCAUUAGUUGCCAGCAUUAAGUUGGGCACUCUAGUGAGACUACCGGUGACAAACCGGAGGAAGGUGGGGAUGACGUCAAAUCAUCAUGCCCCUUAUGACCUGGGCUACACACGUGCUACAAUGGACGGUACAACGAGUUGCGAAACCGCGAGGUCAAGCUAAUCUCUUAAAGCCGUUCUCAGUUCGGAUUGCAGGCUGCAACUCGCCUGCAUGAAGUUGGAAUCGCUAGUAAUCGUGGAUCAGCAUGCCACGGUGAAUACGUUCCCGGGUCUUGUACACACCGCCCGUCACACCAUGAGAGUUUGUAACACCCAAAGUCGGUUAGGUAACCUUUUGGAGCCUGCCGCCUAAGGUGGGACAGAUGAUUAGGGUGAAGUCGUAACAAGGUAGCCGUAGGAGAACCUGCGGCUG
rnacentral:rRNA from 1 species